GAAGUCCACAUGAUCAAACUUGACAAUCUAUCUCUAAAAAUGACGAAGACAGAAGUAGAGGAGAAGUUCACAGGCUACUUCGACAACUGGGUUUGCCAGCUGGAAGCAUUCCUCCAGUUUCUUUUACGGGCUUCCGACGAGAAUUCUUCUAAUAAUACUGAUACUGAUAUUGCCAAGAAAUGGGACAGUGAGGCUUUGGUGGCCCAGCUCACGUCCCACCACAAGGACUACUACACGGCCAAAUGGGCCGCGGCCCAUGAGGAUGUGCUUGCCUUCUUUGCUCCGGCGUGGUUGAGUCCGCUGGAGAAUUCCUGCCUCUGGAUUACCGGUUGGAAGCCGUCCAUGAUGUUCCGGCUCGUCGAAUCGGUCCGGCUGACUCGGCUCCCCGGUGGGAGCCUAGCCGGCAUGACCGAUAGCCAGCUGGAGAAGAUGGAAGAGCUGAGGGGGAAGAUCAGGCUAGAGGAGGAGAAGGUGGAGAUGGAAAUGGAGAGGCAACAGGUGGCGAUGGCGGACAGAAGGAUGGUCGAGCUGGCCCGGCUGUCCAGCCGGGUGAUAGGCCGAGGCGGUAGUGGCGGUGACGGUGGUGAUGAGGUGACGACGGCGGCCCAAAUUGAUGGGUUGGUGGAGGCGGCCUUGAAGAACUUGUUGGGUGGUCUGGAAAGAGUGAUGAAGAUGGCCGACUGUGUGCGGCUGAAGACACUCAAGGGCUUGUUGGAGGUGCUGAGUCCAAUGCAGUGCGUCGACUUCUUGGCGGCCAAGUCAAUGGUUCAGAUUCAACUGAGGAAAUGGGGGAAGAAGAAAGAUAAUGAUCGACGGAACCACGUCGAAAUCCGCGAGAAUUCGCAGUAAUGUUUAGGGGAAUUGAGCGCAUAUAUAGAUGAGCAUUGUGCUGGGUUAGUGGGUCCAUCUCGGGCAACGUGCUGCGAUUUGAUAUUCUUCUGGACGAGCCCUACAAGAAACACAAGAAUCGGAUGAUCGAUGUAGCUGGAUCUCUCUCGUGUGCUCAUAUGAUCUCAGAGUGCCCUGUAUUUAUCAGAAUAUUGUAAGCUUCAAGCUGUAUCAUGUUUUAAUUUCGGUUUUUU